AAACAAAACAAAAAGAAAGAAAAAUACAAAACUGAAUAUGGUAACUUAUAAAUAACCAAUAAUGUCAGCACUGGGGAAGUUGAGACAGGAGGAUUGCUAUGAGUUUGAGGGUAGCCUAGACUACAGAGUGAGACUGUGAAUCAGAAACUAAACAGCAGCAACAGGAAAGUUGAAGGGGCUAAGAGUGUAGUUACGUGGCAGAAUCAUGGCCCUGAGUUCAGUGGGAAGGAGGGGGGAAAGAGGGAGGGAGAAAGGGAAGGGAAGGAAAGUAGGCAGGCAGAUAAGAGUUUUAACUUCCCAGUUAAGGAUUUCAUUUUAUUUUUGAAUAAUGGGUCCAUAAAUUCUUUCCUAUUUGCUUUUUAUUUGUCCUAGUUCAAAGCAGAUUUUGACCAUUUUGACUAUAGACAAUGCAAUUACCAGUUUUUGGUACUUUUAUACUUUAAAUUUUAGAGCUACCAAGUAUUUUCUAACUAAUAUACAGUAAAUUAUAAGGUAAAAGGAUACUGUUGUUUCACCCUAAUUCUUUGAAGGGCAUUUACAAGAGUUGGCCAAGUCAGGUCCAAGCAGCCUGCCGAGGCAUUUCUUCCUAAGUAGAUAGGAAGGAUUGGGAUUUUAAAGGUACAGUCCUUCCCUUCUGAUUCUGAAUUCAUAAGGAUGCCAACUCUGACCGUCCUGGCCGCGCUGGUUCUCAGGAUUGGAGUCACAGUCUUAUGAGCCAGCUCGCGGGUAACAAAGGUGAUGCUGGUGCCCUGAAAAGACUUACAGAACAAAACCGAGAAGACAAUGGCUUGUGACUGUGCAGUGUCAGGAGAAUUAGGGCUUUAAUCGAUAUCUGGUAGGAAACAAGAAAAGCAUAUGCAGGGCAAAUGAAGAAGGACUUUAGGUGGGUCCCGUUCAGGUUAAAGGUGGGGACCAAUGUGUUCAGCCAGAGCUAUAUCGGAGAUGACAGACCAACACACACAGAAGGUAGAAAUGCAGGUGACUAUAGACCAGAGAACAUUUGGGUGUGUGUGUGUGUGUGUGUGUGUAUCUAUAGCUAGACAGAGGUACUGACUUGACAGAAAAGACAUCUCUCUAGAUAACAUAGGGAAAAAUAUAACCUGCCAGUUAUAACAGUAUCAGUUGAAUAUCUUUUGCCCCAAACCAGCCUCUGUUGACUUAGAAAUGUAUAGCUAAUCCAGUUUAAAUUCCUGUAGUGUUUCUAACUGCAUCUACUUCACUUAAAAGUAUUAGGUAAUUUGAUACCUUUUCUCAUUUUUAAAGACAUAACACUGUUCAAGAAACAAUUGCUCAGAAUGUUCUAGCCUCCUACAAUUUAAAAUAAAGUGUUAGGAAUUUGACAUGAACUCUCUAGGGAGCUCAUUCAAUGCCAUUUUGGAAGUAUACACAUACAGGUACACAGAGAAUGGGUUUUUAAAAAAAUGAAUAUUCAUGUUAUAUUGUUACAUCAUUUUUGAAUACGUUUUUACUGAAAUAGAUCUAAGGUAAGGCUUCAUCUUUAAAGUUACUUUGUUUUUUGUAAAGUCGUCUUGUGGAUGAUGUUGCUUAUUACCAAUAGUGUUCAUUUAACGGAAACAGAUACAUAGUUCACUAUUCUGAGUUCAAAAAUAUUGGUUUUUUUUUUUUUUUGAGGAAGGAAACAAAGACUGUAUUUUGCUUCAGGUCAGUUAUUGUUUCCCUGAGAUUAAAAGCCUUGAAGUUUGAUGUCCAACCAUAUAACUUUACAGUAUCAGUUAGUUACUAGUUAGAUUAAUAUUAAAGAUUAAGGACACAAAAACAGGUCUCCAGGCCAGCCUAGUAUAUUAGACCUGCCACUUGUCACACAAACAGCUCUAAUCAUGUUAGGUUUGUGGUAGGAUGGCCAAAUUUUAACUUAGUUUAUACAUGUAUAUUUAUACAUAUGUGUUUAUAUGUAUGAGCUCUCCAAAAAGCCUAGUGUUCUCUGGUGCACAGUGUUAUCAUUGGUUAGAUAUGUAUAUAUGUGUUAUACUCUCAGUAGCUGAAGUAGAUCCAUGUUAUUACAAGCCAGAUUCAAGUCAUGCCUCAUACACACCUAUGUUCUCUCAAAAGUCACAGCUGUAGUACAUGGAAGCUUGGGUUAAAUGACUAGAUCAGUUUUCUUUUUUUUUUUUUCUAGACACAUGUCAUAUAUAUGAUAUAUGUAUACCAUAUGUAUCAUUUAUAUGCCAUAUAAAAAGUAAGGACAUUUGCUGGAGUGUAGUUGAGGAGUAGAGCAGUUAUCUAGCCUGCCUGAGAUCUUCCCUGGGUUCAUUGCCAAGCACUGGGAAAGGGAAGAAAACACUCCAGCAUUGCAUGACCCUAACAAGAUGUGUAUUUUUCAGUCUUUACUAGAGUAUUCUGUUGUUCCCAUAUUUAUGUGUAAUCUUUUAAACAGAAAUGUCACCACUACCUUAUAUGUAAUUUCCCCAUGUAUUUCUGUGUUAUAAACAUUUCUGUAGAUUAGUAAUAAUGGCUGUUUUAAGUUGUUGUCUGUUAAUGUCUUGGCAUGCUUUUGUUUUAAUGAGGUUAUAUAAGCUUGUGCCCUAAACACCUUUAUUAAUAUGAGGUUUCCUGUGAUGAUUUGAAAGAGGAAACAUUCUAUUAAUGGUGGCCCGUCUCAAGUAAAAGCAUGUGUGUAUGCUUACUUUAAGUUGUGUUUGGCAAGCGUUCCCUUCCCACCGAAUGAAGUACAUGCUUGUAAGCUUCGCCAUCUGCCUGCGGUAGAUGUGCAGGGUGCAGGAUCUCGUGUGCUUGCGUUUGCUUCUGGUAGUUCUCCAUGCGUAUGUGUAUGUGUGUAUUUCUCUUCGGAAGGGGAGGGUAAUGUCUUCUGUUGGAAUGCGCACUCCACCCUCUCUGAUAAACUGGUAAGAUUGGCAUCUGUACGCACAGCAGUCAUCUUCAUAGCGCACAGCACUUAGCUCCCAUAAUGAAUGCGCGGGGUGGAGUGUAUCGCAGCCAUUCUCACCUCUCAUUUGUGUGUUUGAUGUGGCAUUUAUAUUACGUAGGAGUAAUUUUUUUUCUGAUUUUUUUUUUCUUGUGUCACCAGUGCACCUAUUCCAUUCUUCCAUCGCUGUGCUCCUGUGAACAUUUCCUGCUAUGCCAAGUUUGCAGAGGCCCUGAUCACCUUUGUCAGUGACAAUAGUGUCUUACACAGGCUGAUUAGUGGAGUAAUGACCAGCAAAGAAAUUAUAUUGGGACUUUGCUUGUUAUCACUAGGUAAUUGUUUUUCUCAUUAUUAGCUGUUGCAUAGUACUGCAGAAGGCUGUUCUGGUUUUAGCCAAAAUAUGCGUACAAUUGGAGAUAACGUGUAAAAUGUUUGACUACCCAUGGCCAAAAUAACUGUUUCAGAUUACAUAUAACUAUAUACAUAAAAGUAUGUAUGGCAUAUAUCUGAAACUCUUUCUUGUUGCUUCUUUUUUUUUUCUUUGAUUAAAGACUUGUUUCCCCACUGGUUACUAAGUCAUGGUUGAUUAUCUUUAAUAAUAGCAGGAGGCCCCUUCUAAUGAUUUAGUAAUCCUCUUGGUUUUAGAUAUCAUUCCAAAGGUAUAUUUACACAUAAAAGAGGCUAUUUUAUAGAGAGGGAAUAUAUAAAGAUCUUAUAUAUUCUAAGGGCAUAGGUUACUCUUGACGUAUGUAAUUUUACGUUUAUGCUAUAGUAUUAUAGUAUUAUUGCCUUUUUGGAAAAGCUAGGUAAUCUCCACUUGUUAGCCACAGAAUUAUUUAGUCAAUAAUUAGAUUCUAAAAAUUAAUUUUAUUUUAAAAAUAAAAAACCUACAUUAUUCUAAAACUAUAGAAGUGCAUAUCAGAGUUUAUAAGACUUCUUUCUUGAGAAUUAGAAGCUAGUAGGAGCCAAACAACUAUUCCAUUGCAUAAGUAAAAUUAGUAUUUAUGUAUGUUUAAUAGCAGUUGUAUUCACUGAGAAGAUAUAAGCUGUAUCUCCACCUUUCUUAUCAUUAGACAGUGUUUUCUUUUUGCAUAGUGCUACUUGACUCAAUUAAAGAAAUGCUGUCCACAUGAAAUUAUAGUUCUGUGAUAUGUGAAGGCUCACAUCUGUUCUCAUUCCUGUGCAUUUACUGCUAAACUAGUACUUUAAAAUCCCUAUACACAGACCUAAACAUUUAUUUAGCUUUGCAAAUGACCCAAAGAAAUGUGACAACUUGGUUUUCUGAAAUAGUUGAUUGUAUAACC
rnacentral:lncRNA from 1 species